CUGGGAGGGGGAGACGGGAGAAGGAGGGUACGAAAGGAACCUAACAGGCAAUUUCUACCUUCACUCACUGAGAAUUGUCCAUAGAGCAUCUUCCCGGUGAGAGAACUCUUUCAGCGUUUUCUAUUG
rnacentral:ribozyme from 1 species